CCAAUUAAAUGUUUUGGGAGAGUGGCUGAAAGAUGUCACACGGAUUCACUAUCCAGUAUAGUUGCAUCAUGUUCUUGGGGUAAACAUGUCGUCGUUGGCACAGGAACACCUUUCCAGAUUAUGUGGAGCAAGAAAGAAGUGACAUCAAAUCUAGAUGUCAUAACAGAUGUGUAUGAUUUCCUCCAUUUGGAAAUGAGAGGGUUCAAGAUGCUAAAUCCCAAGAUGUAAAUUGUUGGAA